rnacentral:rRNA from 1 species
UACAGAGGUCUCAAGCGUUGUUCGGAUUCAUUGGGCGUAAAGGGUGCGUAGGCGGCGCGGUAAGUCGGGUGUGAAAUCUCGGAGCUUAACUCCGAAACUGCAUUCGAUACUGUCGUGCUUGAGGACUGGAGAGGAGACUGGAAUUUACGGUGUAGCGGUGAAAUGCGUAGAUAUCGUAAGGAAGACCAGUGGCGAAGGCGGGUCUCUGGACAGUUCCUGACGCUGAGGCACGAAAGCGUGGGGAGCAAACAGG